rnacentral:rRNA from 1 species
AGUGAACGCUGGCGGUAGGCCUAACACAUGCAAGUCGAACGGCAGCACAGGAGAGCUUGCUCUCUGGGUGGCGAGUGGCGGACGGGUGAGGAAUACAUCGGAAUCUACUUUUUCGUGGGGGAUAACGUAGGGAAACUUACGCUAAUACCGCAUACGACCUACGGGUGAACGCAGGGGACCUUCGGGCCUUGCGCGAUUGAAUGAGCCGAUGUCGGAUUAGCUAGUUGGCGGGGUAAAGGCCCACCAAGGCGACGAUCCGUAGCUGGUCUGAGAGGAUGAUCAGCCACACUGGAACUGAGACACGGUCCAGACUCCUACGGGAGGCAGCAGUGGGGAAUAUUGGACAAUGGGCGCAAGCCUGAUCCAGCCAUACCGCGUGGGUGAAGAAGGCCUUCGGGUUGUAAAGCCCUUUUGUUGGGAAAGAAAUCCAGCUGGCUGAUACCCGGUUGGGAUGACGGUACCCAAAGAAUAAGCACCGGCUAACUUCGUGCCAGCCGCCGCAGUAA